rnacentral:rRNA from 1 species
CAGUCGCCACGGUAAUACGAAGGGGACUAGCGUUGUUCGGAAUUACUGGGCGUAAAGGGCGCGUAGGCGGCCAUUCAAGUUAGAUGUGAAAGCCCUGGGCUCAACCUAGGAAUUGCAUUUGAUACUGUUUGGCUUGAGUUCGGGAGAGGUGAGUGGAAUUCCCAGUGUAGAGGUGAAAUUCGUAGAUAUUGGGAAGAACGCCAGUGGCGAAGGCGGCUCACUGGACCGACACUGACGCUGAGGCGCGAAAGCGUGGGGAGCAAACAGGAUUAGAUACCCCCGUAGUCCCUGUCUCUUAUAC